CAGGCCAUGUGGGCCAAAGCAGCACUGAAUGCUGCCUCCUGGUGCCACCUCCUGGGCUGGUUGGCUAUAGUGGUUACGUUAUGCAUGUGCAAGGCCCCAGCAGUGCAAAAAAAAAAAAGUACAUACAUGGGGGGGGGGAGAAGGAGAGUGACACUGUGACUGGAGAAGUUUCUGGCACUGGGUAGAAACAACUCAGCAGUACAAAUCUCAGGUCUGUUCUGUGGCACUGCAUAUGCUUGUGUCAUGUGUCAUUCUAUCUCUGUCUCUCUCAUCAGUCACCAAAUGGAUUUUUAAAUUAGGCUACCUGGUGAUCUAUUCCUCUCAUCCUAAAUAAAUUCUUGAAAAAAUAAAUGGAAAUAUUUUUUUAAAUUCCUUUAUGAAAAGGAAUUGAAUUUUUUUCCAAUUGUGUUCUUUUGUAUGAAGGCCUGAAAUAAACUAGAAGGUCUGAACUAAAAAGUGCAUGAUUUCUAUUAAUGUGUGAGGUUUAAUUAUAUAGUAUAUACAAUUAAAUGUAACAAAAUAUAAGUAUCAGAAUUUCAGCAACAGGAAAGGACACUCACUGUUCGCUGAGUGGCAUUUGUAAACACUGAAGUACAGAGUGCGGCCACACUGGAGCCUCAGCUCUGAGGGCUAGCUGCUUCCUGCCUUUGGUGAGAUGUCUCCAGGGUCAGUCAGCACACACAGUGCUCAGGCCCCUCUCCCCACCCUUGCUGAGCUGCCAGAUGAGGACAGCUGCAGGAGCAGGUCUUCAUGGGCUCGGCUGAGAGUACAGGGCAGAGUGACAGAGGUCUUCUUGCUGUCCCUCCAGGUUUGAAAGCAACUUCGCCAUCAAGCACUCGGUGCCCCUGCGUAGCCUGUGGGUGUCUGCCUACUUGGAGAGGUCCCGGAGAGCCACCAGCAGAGACCGGAGGUCACUGGUUCUAGGCUGGCCCAGGAACAGCUUCGUGGUCACUUUCUCGUCUGUUCAGCAAAAGCAGGAGUGGCAUUCCUGUCUGGAGAGCUGCAUGGUUCUUGCUAACGACAGGGACCAGCCUGGAAUGACUCCCCAGGACAUCCUUCCUGUACAGAGGGAGGAUGGGGC